rnacentral:rRNA from 1 species
UACGUAGGGGGCAAACGUUGCUCGGAAUUAUUGGGCGUAAAGCGCUCGCAGGCGGUUCGUUGCGUCGUGCGUGAAAGACCCCGGCUCAACUGGGGAGGGUCACGCGAUACUGAUCGACUGGAAGGCAGGAGAGGGUAGUGGAAUUCCCGGUGUAGUGGUGAAAUGCGUAGAUAUCGGGAGGAACACCGGUGGCGAAGGCGGCAUCCUGGACCGGUAUUGACGCUGAGGCGCGAAAGCCAAGGGAGCAAACGGG